rnacentral:lncRNA from 1 species
AAAAGUCACCAGUGAGAUCCAGUCUCUGCACAAAUACACUCCCUGGCUGAGGCCACGGGUCAGAAGGGCGCUGGUGAAGUCUGCGCUCGCCCCUCUGCAGAAGCCACACCCCGCGGCCUGGCUGGAAGGCCACCGGCUGAGCAGGAGGGGAACUCGGAACUCCAGCGGGCUCCCUUCAUCCUUUCUUUCUGGAGGAAACGGUUGGGAGAUCCCAGGAUGGAAUAUGGAAUGUCACAGAAGAACCUGACUGCAUCAUGAAUGCAUGAAACAGCCUCACUGAAGAUGGUGCGGGGAAGCUGCUGACCUGGGUGGAUUUGGAAAUGAGUGGAGUCCGUGAGACUAAAGCAUUAUUCACGGUAGCCAAGACGUGGAAGCAACCCAAGUGCCCAUCGACCAAUGAUUGGAUAAAGAGGAUGUGGAAGGAAGCUCUGACACAUACCAGGACGCGGAUGAACCAUGAAGACAUUAGGCUAAGUGAAAUAGUAAGCCGGAUGCAAAAGAACACAUAAUAUGAUUCCACUUACAUGGGGUCCCUGGAGGAGGCAAAUCAUGGAGAGGGAAGGCAACGUGGAACUUGGACAGAUGUCUUGAAUUGAGGAUAUAUUUGGAAAACCUUCACCUGAAGAGUCACAAAAAGUGAGGAGGACGCAGGGGAGCUCCAGCCACCUGCUGGGGUCUGCAGGGAGUGCCAGGAUGCAGGUGCCACCAGACCCAGACACUCCGGGGCGAGAAGGGAUGGGCUGAUGGGCUCCUGGGGCCAAAUCUCAGAAGGCAGGGACCGUUGGGCCUGGUGCUGACCCAGGGUGCUGACUGGGCUCCGGGGUGGACGGGGGGUACCCCGGCGUAGUGUCACCUGAGAGAUUUCACACCCCUCGCAGAAAUGACAACUGCCUCCCCAGAGCCAACGCUUGCUUGUCUGCACAGCGGUCCUGCUUCCCCAGGCUCUGCCAGCAGAGGGCAGCAGGUUGCCAAAGAAAGGCACCAGGCCUGGCUCCUCCAUCACCGCGGGCGCUAGGGUCAGCAGGCAGGGCAGCCAGGGCCCGGGCUGCCGGCUUCUCCAUACUUACUUCCACUUUGAAGGAGGGAUGGGGGCUGUGACAUGAUUUCCCACCUCUCUUAGGCUGGAUCAUAAAACAGCCUGCGUUUAGACAUACGUGACAGCUCUCAGAGCUGUCGGUCAUCUUUGCUUCUGACCUCACAACCCCUCGUGGCAGCAGGACUGGGGGAGUUGUUCCAUCUGCCAAGGAUGAAGAAACAACUCGGACAGGCUGGGAUCUGCUCCAGGGCCUCCUGCUGGAGGAGCAGAGCAGGAUCUGGAGGCUUGUGCCCCGAGGUGGGACGUGUGACAUCAGCACCUGCUUGCACCUGCUCGGGGCUGAGCACUCCGGUCACAAGCACCCAAAAUGGGGACCACCUGGGGCACACAUGCAUCCCGUUGCACACCCAUUUUUAGAGUAAUUCUCAGGAGCUGCUGUAACACGUCUAUACCCCAAGGUCAUGACCACAUACCAGGACGUGUUUUUAGAGCUCGCAUUCUUGCAUUCUGUGUUUUCCAUUGAUUCUGGAACUCUGUUCAUUAGAAUUUGUCGACAUGAGACCCAGGAUCACCCCCUGAAAAUGAACUGCUCCACUUAAUGGGCAUUUUGUCCCUUAGGAUGGCGUGUCCCCGAAGCCUAUCACAACAAAGGGGCUCCUCAGAGCAUUUCCCAGCAGGAGGCAGAUCCGAGGACAAGACACAAAGGUGCAGUUCAGAGGAGGUUGGGUGGGUGGGCCCUUUCUUCCUGCAGCAUCUGAAAGUCAUCUGAUCAAUCAAGCUGACACCUUCUCCCACGAGGAGAAGCGAAGACUCACAUUGUCAAGGAGCCUUUGAAGUACAAAGAUCUUUUUUCAAUAUAUAGAAUUCCUACGUUACUAAGAUAAAUGGGGGAAGAGUUGACAUUUAUUGCGCAUAAUUUAAAUUCAAAUUGGCUCCCAGUAAAGGAAAAUUACAAGAUAUUCUGAACUGUUUGCCUUCAGUUCUGCUCCCUUUGCUGAAAUGAGGGGUCUAAACUGCUUUAGAUCUGCCUUAAUUUUUAUAAUUUAGACAACAAAACUGUACUAUGGAAUAUCAGGAAACAAAUAUUUUUAUUUUUCAAAUGAAGUUACCCC